rnacentral:rRNA from 1 species
AAUAGAUACCCGGGUAGUCCAUGCCGUAAACGUUGGGCGCUAGAUGUGGGGACCAUUCCACGGUUUCCGUGUCGCAGCUAACGCAUUAAGCGCCCCCGCCUGGGGAGUACGGCCGCAAGGCUAAAACUCAAAGGAAUUGACGGGGGCCCGCACAAGCGGCGGAGCAUGCGGAUUAAUUCGAUGCAACGCGAAGAACCUUACCAAGGCUUGACAUAUACGAGAACGCUCUAGAAAUAGAGAACUCUUUGGACACUCGUAUACAGGUGGUGCAUGGUUGUCGUCAGCUCGUGUCGUGAGAUGUUGGGUUAAGUCCCGCAACGAGCGCAACCCUCGUUCUAUGUUGCCAGCGGUUCGGCCGGGAACGUCAUAGGAGACUGCCGGGGUCGAACUCGGAGGAAGGUGGGGAUGACGUCAAAUCAUCAUGCCCCUUAUGUCUUGGGUCUUCACGCAUGCUACAAUGGCCGGUACAAAGGGCUGCAAUACCGUAAGGUGGAGCGAAUACCCAAAAGCCGGUCUCAGUUCGAAUUGAGGU